GGGGUCGUAGCUCAAAUGGUAGAGCGCCCGCUUAGCAUCUGACGCUGAGCGCCCGCAAAUUGCGGGAGGUAGGGGGAUCGAUGCCCUCCGACUCCA
rnacentral:tRNA from 1 species